rnacentral:rRNA from 1 species
UACGGGGGGAGCAAGCGUUGUUCGGAUUUACUGGGCGUAAAGGGCGCGUAGGCGGCCACCGCAAGUCGACUGUGAAAUCUCCGGGCUUAACCCAGAAAGGUCAGCCGAUACUGCGGGGCUAGAGUGCAGAAGGGGCAACUGGAAUUCUCGGUGUAGCGGUGAAAUGCGUAGAUAUCGAGAGGAACACCUGCGGCGAAGGCGGGUUGCUGGGCUGACACUGACGCUGAGGCGCGAAAGCUAGGGGAGCGAACGGG